UGAAAAUGGAUGGCGCUGAAGCGUCGUGCUUAUACUCGGCCGUCAGCGGCAUGUGCGGUCGUGAUCCGCCUCAAAACGGAUCGGCCAUGAAGCUCUGACGAGUAGGAGGGUCGCGGCGGUGAGCGCAGAAGGGCUGGCCGUGAGGCCGUCUGGAGCCGCCGUCGGUGCAGAUCUUGGUGGUAGUAGCAAAUACUCCAGCGAGGCCCUGGAGGACUGACGUGGAGAAGGGUUUCGUGUGAACAGCCGUUGCACACGAGUCAGUCGAUCCUAAGUCCUAGGCGAAAGCCGAUGUUGAUGUGGCGUUUUUUUAUAGUUGUUUUUCACACGAUAAAAGAACACGCCCGUCGGACGAAAGGGAAUCCGGUUCCUAUUCCGGAACCCGGCAGCGGAACCGUACAAUAGUCGGGCCCUCGCAAGAGAGUUCGUCGGGGUAACCCAAAAAGACCCGAAGACGCCGUCGGGAGAUCCGGGAAGAGUUUUCUUUUCUGCAUAAGCAUUCGAGUUCCAUGGAAUCCUCUAGCAGGGAGAUAUGGUUUGGAAUGCGAAGAGCACCGCAGUUGCAGCGGUGUCCGGAUCUUCCCCUCGGACCUUGAAAAUUCGGGAGAGGGCCACGUGGAGGUGUCGCGCCGGUUCGUACCCAUAUCCGCAGCAGGUCUCCAAGGUGAAGAGCCUCUAGUCGA
rnacentral:rRNA from 1 species